UACGUAGGUGGCAAGCGUUGUCCGGAUUUACUGGGCGUAAAGAGCGCGCAGGCGGUCGUUCAAGUCGCGUGUGAAAGCCCCCGGCUCAACUGGGGAGGGUCACGCGAUACUGAUCGACUCGAAGGCAGGAGAGGGUAGUGGAAUUCCCGGUGUAGUGGUGAAAUGCGUAGAUAUCGGGAGGAACACCAGUGGCGAAGGCGACUGCCUGGCCUGUUUCUUGACGCUGAGGCGCGAAAGCUAGGGGAGCAAACGGG
rnacentral:rRNA from 1 species